rnacentral:rRNA from 1 species
UACGGAGGGUGCAAGCGUUGUCCGGAAUUAUUGGGUUUAAAGGGUGCGUAGGCGGUUUUUUAAGUCUGAGUUGAAAUCCCACAGCUUAACUGUGGAACUGGCUUGGAUACUGGAAAACUUGAGUAUGGUUGAGGUAGGCGGAAUUUAUGAUGUAGCGGUGAAAUGCAUAGAUAUCAUAAAGAACACCGAUUGCGAAGGCAGCUUACUAGACCAUAACUGACGCUGAGGCACGAAAGCGUGGGGAGCGAACAGG